CAUCGCCGCUAUAAAGUUGAAGACAGAAGACAGUCCAACAGAGAGAAAUCAAGAAGAGAGAGAUAACAAUGGAAACUCCAAAGACAAUAGCGAACGAAAUCGGAGGAGUCCGAAACGACGCACUUCGUUUUGGAAUUCAAGGCGUCAAGAGUGAAAUCGUUGAAUCUCAUCCCCUCCAAUCUGCCUAUCACUCUGCAAGGAAGACGCAGAAGGAGAUGAAGAGAAGGAUCCUCGCGAACACGUACGGGUCGGCUUUUCCGAUGAAGAUGGACCUGGAUAGUCAAAUUCUUUCUAUGUAUUAGUUUUGAGUCUCGUCGUUUUAAUGUGUAACCAAUUGGUCAUCGUUUUGUUGUUUGAUACGAUUUAAUUUCUUGCAAAAUUAGAGAACCCACCUA